rnacentral:rRNA from 1 species
CAAGUCGAGCGGGGUAGCAAUACCCAGCGGCGCACGGGCGAGUAACGCGUGGGAAUGUGCCCUCAACUCAGGAACAACUCAGGGAAACUUGAGCUAAUACCUGAUAGUCCCUUCGGGGUAAAGAAUUUCGGUUGAGGAGCAGCCCGCGUAAGAUUAGGUAGUUGGUGGGGUAAUGGCCUACCAAGCCUACGAUCUUUAGCCGGUCUGAGAGGACGAUCGGCCGCACUGGAACUGAGACACGGUCCAGACUCCUACGGGAGGCAGCAGUGGGGAAUAUUGGACAAUGGGGGCAACCCUGAUCCAGCCAUGCCGCGUGAGUGAUGAAGGCCUUCGGGUUGUAAAGCUCUUUUGGCGGGGACGAUGAUGACGGUACCCGCAGAAUAAGUGACGGCAAACUUCGUGCCAGCAGCCGCGGUAAUACGAAGGUCACUAGCGUUGCUCGGAAUUACUGGGCGUAAAGGGCGUGUAGGCGGCUUCGCAAGUUGGGUGUGAAAUCCCUGGGCUUAACCCGGGAA